GGGGGGGGUCAUAUCAUGCAAGUAGAACGCUGAAGACUGGUGCUUGCACUAGUCAGAUGAGUUGCGAACGGGUGAGAAACGCGUAGGUAACCUACCUCAUAGCGGGGGAUAACUAUUGGAAACGAUAGCUAAUACCGCAUGACAAUUAAGUACUCAUGUACUAAAUUUAAAAGGAGCAAUUGCUUCACUAUGAGAUGGACCUGCGUUGUAUUAGCUAGUUGGUGAGGUAACGGCUCACCAAGGCCACGAUACAUAGCCGACCUGAGAGGGUGAUCGGCCACACUGGGACUGAGACACGGCCCAAACUCCUACGGGAGGCAGCAGUAGGGAAUCUUCGGCAAUGGGGGCAACCCUGACCGAGCAACGCCGCGUGAGUGAAGAAGGUUUUCGGAUCGUAAAGCUCUGUUGUUAGAGAAAAACGGUAAUGGGAGUGGAAAAUCCAUUACGUGACGGUAACUAACCAGAAAGGGACGGCUAACUACGUGCCAGCAGCCGCGGUAAUACGUAGGUCUCGAGCGUUGUCCGGAUUUAUUGGGCGUAAAGCGAGCGCAGGCGGUUAUUUAAGUCUGAAGUUAAAGGCCGUGGCUCAACCAUGGUUCGCUUUGGAAACUGGAUAACUUGAGUGCAAAAGGGGAGAGUGGAAUUCCAUGUGUAGCGGUGAAAUGC
rnacentral:rRNA from 1 species